rnacentral:rRNA from 1 species
GAGACCCAUUUCCACUGUUGCUAACACGCCCUAACGGGUGGUGAGUACACUGUGGAGACCGCUGGCGCUAAGUCAGAGGAAGGAUUGGUCGACGGUAGGUCAGUAUGCCCCGAAUCCCCCGGGCCACACGCGGGCUGCAAUGGUAUGGACAGUGGGAUGCAACUCCGAAGGGAGAAGCUAAUCUCUAAACCAUAUCUCAGUUGGAAUUGUCGGCUGAAACUCGCCGACAUGAACGUGGAAUCCCUAGUAAUCGCGUGUCAUCAUCGCGCGGUGAAUAC